rnacentral:rRNA from 1 species
UACGUAGGGGGCUAGCGUUGUCCGGAAUCAUUGGGCGUAAAGAGCGCGUAGGCGGCUGGAAUAGUCCGGUGUGAAAUCCACAGGCUUAACCUGUGAAUGCCGCUGGAAACUGUCUGGCUAGAGUCCGGAAGGGGCGAGUGGAAUUCCUGGUGUAGCGGUGAAAUGCGCAGAUAUCAGGAGGAACACCAAUGGCGAAGGCGAGUCUCUGGACAUUUCCUGACGCUGAGGCACGAAAGCCAGGGGAGCAAACGGG